rnacentral:rRNA from 1 species
GACGAACGCUGGCGGCGUGCUUAACACAUGCAAGUCGAACGGUAAGGCUCCAGCUUGCUGGGGUACACGAGUGGCGAACGGGUGAGUAACACGUGGGUGACCUGCCCUGCACUUCGGGAUAAGCCUGGGAAACUGGGUCUAAUACCGGAUAGGACCCUGGUGUGGGUAGUGUGGUGGAGAGUUUUUGCGGUGUGGGGUGGGCACGCGGCCUAUCAGCUUGUUGGUGGGGUAAUGGCCUACCAAGGCGGCGACGGGUAGCCGGCCUGAGAGGGUGGACGGCCACAAUGGGACUGAGACACGGACCAGACUCCUACGGGAGGCAGCAGUGGGGAAUAUUGCACAAUGGGCGGAAGCCUGAUGCAGCGACGUCGCGUGGGGGAUGACGGCCUUCGGGGUGUAAACUCCUUUCACCAUCGACGAAGGGUUUCUGACGGUAGAUGGAGAAGAAGCACCGGCUAACUACGUG